rnacentral:tRNA from 1 species
AUUUGUCUAGUAUAAUAAGUAUAAUUGACUUCCAAUCAAAAGGUCUGAAUAUUUUCAGGACAAAUA